rnacentral:lncRNA from 1 species
ACAUUUCACACAUAAUGGGUAUGAGAUAUUAAGUCAUCACACACUACAAUAAAAUUUUGAUUUUGCGACACGACUCGCAACAUUACUUAAAACCGCCCACUCUCAAUGUUGGCUAUGGUUGGUGCGACAGUUAUUCGCAAUCGUCACCGUCUUUUGGAAACAAUAGAUACGCGCUUAAAACUUUUCACUGUCUCGUGUUAAACAUUUUCCCCAAAAAUUUCAUUGUUGCGCAAAAUUCACUAAAAUCCCAUUGAUCAAUUGAAAGAAAGAAGAACAAGGGAACUCAAAGAUUGUUUUGCUUAGAUAAAAAGGAAGACGCGAACUUGAAAAGUAUUGGAAGAAGAGAACUCAAAUACCAGAGAAAUUAAAGAGGUAUGAAGCUUGUUCUGCCCUUUUGUUGUUUCCUUUUGUUCGUUCAUUGCAUCUUUUGUUUGCAUUUUCUUCUUUGUUUGUGUUGAGUAGAUGUUCUUUCAGAAGUAUUCCAACUAGAAUGUAAUUGAUGUUGCAUUGUUAAUUUUCGCUAUAGUCAUCAUAGAACGAAGUUAGUCUUUGUUGUCCAAGUGAUAUAUGAUAAUUUCAUUAGUUGUUAAUUGUGCUCUAAAUUAUAAUUGCAUAUUAUAUGUUUGCAUCUUGUCUUGGUUAUUCCACUACCUUAUGAGAAUUAUAAUGAAGCUACUUUGUGAAAUGUCAAUAAUAUUAAACUUUGUUGCAACUUUAUUGAAGCUUGUUUAUAAUCACUAGUUGUCAUUUCUUGUCUGCAUAUGUGUUUCCACUUCACUGAUAGAUGUUGUUUUAAAUCUAUUUCCUAUUUUGAAAAUACAGCUAUUCUUUUCUUUCCUAAACCCAUCUUUCUAAAAUAAUGUAAAUUUUAUGUUUGGGAUAUAUAACUUGAUUGUACAUUUAACAAUAUGAUAGUAUGAAUCUUCCAUAAAUUUCAUUUUUUGUUUGGUGUAUCUUUUUUGUAAAUAACAACUGCUACUAUUUGGCAUCUUGAGAUGGUGAUGAGAAGUCUAAUAUUUUUUCAUUUAAAUUUGUAGGAAUGUGAAAGGAUAUAUGUUCCUUUACUUAAUUACUAUUUUUCAUACAUGAGUAUGUAAAUUAUAUAUUAAUUUCUAGUAAACUCUUAACAUUCUUAAAAGAGUUAUUUGCAAGAUGAAGUAUGUUCAAAUAAAAUAAGUGAUACAUAUUUAUUUUCAAAGGUCAUUAUGCAUAAUUAUAUGUGCGUAUUAUGCCAAUUACUAGAAUAGAGAUAUCUAACUUGUAUAAAAAGUAUCAUUGGUUUUCUAUCUAUUCUUUCACUAUUUCUACUCUUGAGUUUCCUGGAUGCGACAACUGAACAAUUGUGAAACGUUAGGAAAAGGAAAGAGUUUAGACUCUUCGUCACUUGCACUGACAGGAGGGACAAAGACAACCUUUCCAUGACACACUAAGUCACAUGGUUUUCUAACAUCCAAUAUACCUAAAAUAAUAUCAAUCCCUUUCAAAGGAUUACAAAUUAAAUCAUCUAAAAAUUUCCUAAGGAAGAAACUGAUGAAGAAGGAGAACAAGCCAAAGUCAUUUCUAUUUGACCCUCUUCUACGAGUGUAACAACUAAGGUAUAUGACAUGAGAGUUAAGGGAAGGUUUAGAUGCAUUACACACUUGAUUAUUUAUCGAGUUAAUUUUAUCCUAAAAAUAAUUGUUGACACAAAUCGUCCCAUUGUCAGUAAAGGGGAAUGAAAUCAUUCUUAGUUGAGGAAUGACUGAUGUGAUGUGAUGUGAUAAUGACAAAGUAUAAACAAUUAUUACUAUGGGAGUUUAGGAUUAACUUGUAGUGAGUAAUUUUUAUGGUUAGAAAUAUUUGGAGAUUAAUUUAGUUAUUUAUGGCAAGAAAAAAUUAAAUUUUCUCUCGUAUUUAAACCCUAAACCCACGAUCUCAUCAUCAUCAAACACCAUCGCUUUCAUUUUUUUUCAAACUUCAUCUUCUACUUCUCUCAUUCUCUCUAAAAUCCUAAACUUUCCUUCCAUUUUUGAGUUUCCGCAAGACUUCUGAUUCCAACCUAAAGAACUCCAACUACAAAAGUAUUUUACACUUUGAGGGGAAUCUAUUGAGCCAAUGAUCAUUAUGGGAUAAAUAUUUUUCAUCUCUUCUUUCUUGAAACCCGCAAUGCAAGUAUGUAUAAAGGAGGGGAGUAUGUGACCUUUUUUUUUCUGUGUUUCAUCCUUCAAUCAUUCUUGAUUUUUGUUGUUAUUGUUGUUUAUGUUGAUGUUUAUAAAGAAACAAAGAAAUAAAGAAACAAAAAAACAUUUUGCUUUCUUUUUCACUCACAAAAUCAAAAACCCUAAAUUGGGGAAAAUAGUUUUUUUGAAUGUGUUUCAGUAAUGUAAUGAGUUGUUUUCAAAUAAUGAGUUUUACUAUAUAUUAGAAACUUUAUUAAAAUGGUUGAAGUUGUUAGAAUUAGAAAAGUUUAAGUUUUACCUAUUAUGGUGAUUUUGAGAAAUGGUUUGGGAAAAGUGAAUGUACUUGAAAGUUAGAGUAUUUAUUUUGAAAGUAAAAUGGCUUUUAUGAUUGAUAAGUAUUUAGAAAGUUAAAGUGAAAUUUUAAUUUAUAUGGAAUUAGUAUGCGACCUUGGAAAUUUAAGUUUAAAGUGUUAUAUUUUGAGUAACUAAUAAUUCAUUGAGUCUCGAAAAGAAAUCGAGACUGUUGACACUGAAUUAGCAACGAGGAGGACUCUGUAAUAUUUUGUAGUCUUAUGUCAACUUUUUUUAAGGAAAGGAAAAGAAAAGAAAAUUUUCAUGUCAAAUAUAUUUAGCAAGUUUGAAUGACAAAAACAUAGUAAGUGUUGUGGCUAGAUUUAUUUCAAAAUGAACUUGAAUUGUAGAAAGUUUGUAAACUUUAAUGAAGUUAAAUAAAUGUCCUAUUUGAGUAAGCUUAGUUAUGGUUGUUGUUGUGAUACUACAACGAGGUAAAAGUUUUUCUAAAAUAUAGUUCUCACAUAUAAGAAUUUUAUAAACUUUUCUCAUGCUCUAUUGGACUUUUCUUUACUUAACAAUGAUUGAAAGGUUUGGUCACAAGACUCAAUAGAGUUUUGAAUUGAAUCUUGAAGUUUAGCUUAAUAGAAAAAAAAUUAAUGUUAAAAGUUGAAAAUUUAGACAUUAAAAGUAUAUAACGAGAAGGAAAAACAUACAAUGACAUUCUCUAUUUAUUCAUCAAAUUUUUCCAUUUCUUCGCUAAUACUAUUAUUCCAAUAUUUCAACAAUUUCUUGAAAUGAUAUGCUUUCAAGCCUAUUUUUUAACCUUUCGUUUAAGAUUUAUUAUUUCAAAAUAUGUGUCCUCUUAAUAUAACAUUUGUAAUAUCUCCAUGCAUCAUUUAUUCGAUAGAAAACAACUUCCUUUCCUUUCUCAGGCAUAAUAAAUUUACUCUGAAAAACAUUAUUGUGAUCAACAUGUGAUGACUAUUUGACAAUCAAAUAAAAUAUUAAAAUUAAACUCUUAUACCUGAAUAUAAGUUCAUAUACAUUCCUUAUUAUUUUUAUACACUUUCUUAAAGUUUUAUAAAUCAAGGGACGAAAAGUUGAGUUCCUUGUGAUAGUGCCAAGGAAAUAACUCAAGUCAGUUACAACUUUAUCGUCAAGUCAUAUCACUUCUCCGUCAUUGUCUAAGAUGACUUAUAUGCAAAAUUUUCUUCCAUGUAUUUUCAAGCAAUGAGUUGGUCCCUUGUUUUUUUUCUUCUUAGUUGUCCCUAUUUUUACAUUAAACUUAUAUAAGAUACAAUAAAAUCCCAAAGAUGAGUCAAAAAUAUAUAUAUGAAAAAUUAAUAUUUGAUCAUAACAAUUACGUUCGUCAUCUUCAUCUUGGUCUUCAUUUUCUUCUUCCAUGACAUAUUCUUUCUCUUCACUUCAUGUAUCAUUUCCCAACUCUUCUUCAUCAUCAAGUUCAUUAUUUUCCUUGAGAGAAUCUUCAAUUAACAUUGAUUUGCACAAGGGUAUUCUUUUUUUUUCUUUCUUUGUUGCACUUUGUUGACUUGUCAUUACCUCAUCAUCUUCAUUCUCUAACCUUUUUUUGGCCUUUUGUUUUGUUCUUGAAUUUCAUUUUCUCCUUAUGUCUUUCUCAUUGGUGAUUGAACUUCUUCAUUCUCCACACUUUUUUUGGCUUUUGAUUUUGCAUAGGUGAUUUUCUUUGAUUCAUGAUUGGUUCUUUCGGAUCUUGGUUUUGUCUUGAUCCUUGAUUGUUAGUCAUUGAUGCUUCAUUUGAAAUUUUUUUGACAUUGUUAAACUUCUUUUCUGUUGAACAAAGAUCCCUAUUUAAAUAUAUAUUUGUUUGACCUAUUGUUGCAAAAUUUGAUACCUUGAAAUAUGCUUGAGGUAUACUCUUAAUUGUAGGAUUCUUGACCCUUUAAUUUGCUUGUCUAACCCUGUACCCUUGGAACAAACUAUAUUCUUUGUUGUUGGAUUGUUUUGCUUGCUAAUGGGUUCUUUGGUUCCAACCAUAUCUUCAUUAGUUACAAAAAUGUCUCUGAUUAUCUUUUCACGCUUGAUUUUGGAUCUCCUUAGUAAUUAAUUGCUUGAUCUUGCUUGAACUAUUUCAAACUUGGAUGUACUUCUUUCACCUUGGUCUUGAGUUGUAAUAUUUUGUUUUAACCUUGCUUUCUUAUUCAUUUUAUGUAGAAAUAAAAAGGAAAUAUUAGUAAGAGGACAAUAAACAAAACAUUUUUUAGUCAAUACAUAAUAUCAAUUUAAUUUAUUGAGGAAUAAUAAGAGGAAUAUAAAAAUAAGCCAAUAAGAGGAAUAAUAAGCCAAUAGAAAAUUUUUUGAAAAGGAGAAAUAAAAUAUAUAGAUUAAUAGCUCUUCAUUGUCCAAAUCAUAAUCAUCUCUGUCUUUGAAUUCCUUCAUAACAUGCGCAAGCUUCUCAACUAUUGUUGUUGGAAUGUCUUUCUUAACCCAAUUGAGGUCGCUUUCAUUAUUUGAUGCAUUUAAAUUUCCAAUAUCAUAAAAUGGAUCAUCAAAAUAUUCUUCUUGAGUUGUAGCAUUUGAUUGGUCACCCAUGUUAAACAGAUCUCUAGGAACAGUUUUCAUCACAGAUUGUUUAUUUUCAUCAAAAGAAUCUUGCACAUAAAAACAUUGGUGAACUUGAGACACCAGGACAAAUGGAUCAUUUUGGUAAAAUUUGUUUUAGAAAUGUAUAUUUGUCUUCUUUAGCCUCAAACCAAUCACACUUAAACAACACAAUUUUGAGCUGGCUAUAAAAGUUUAACUCAAUUAUGUCAUUAAUCGCUCCAUAGUAAGUGACAACAUCUAUUUUAGGAUUUUCAUCCUUAGAACUUGCAAAACUUUCGUUCAAAGAAACCAAAGCUACACCAGAAUUUUCAGUUUUGCAUCCUCCAUCAUGUUUCAUAGUGAAAUCUAUAACCAUUGAUGAGGUAACCUAAAAACCUCUUUGCAGCAGCAUUUGGAUCUCUAGAUAAUGCUUUGAGGUGAACUGACACAUCAUUUUCCAAGGCUCGAAUUUUAAACCAUUCACUAAAAUAUUGACCUUGUCUUUUGGCCUUGAUCCACUUUCCUCCUUUAGUGUGACCACUAACACAUUCAUCGUACUCUCUACAAAGGUAACACUAAUAGUUGUUAAAAAUAACUUUAAAGAUAAGUUACGUAUACAAGUAGGGAAUAAACAAUAAACUAUUAUGAUACCUUAUGUAUGUUUUAAUAUCAUCGCAAUUGAUCAAUAUGUAUCGAUGGGCUUGAGCUUUUGAUGUUGAGUCUAUUAAAAAUAACUUACCAUUUUGCUUCAUUCCUAAAGAUCGUUCAAUACUUGAAAAGUAAUCAUUUGAAUCUACUUCUCUUAGAAUCGUUGUUAUCAUACUUUCAACUCAUUCUAUUCACUUUUAGGCAAAUAUUUUGAGCAAAAAGUCAAAGCUUCUUCAGCCAAAUAUCCCUCAACAAUUAGGGGUGUGCAAAAUAUAUGGUUAAUUGGACCAUAUUGAUAAAUUAGAUUGCAUUGCACCAAACCCAUUAAAUGAUUCACAUUUUGAACCACAUAUUUAAAACAAACAAGUUAACAAAAUUAAUUCAAAAACCAGUUUAACAAUUUUAAAACUUUUUGAAACUCAAUUUAGAUUUUUUUUCUUAGAAAAAUUUUAAAAUUUAUUUUUCUCGAAAAAAAUAUAGAAACUUUUUUUUUUCAAAAAAAAAUUAAAUCAUUUUAUUCUUGGAGAAUUUUUGAGAAAAAAAAUAAAAAGUACUUUUUUUUUUCUAAAAAAUUUACUAUUUCUUUUUUUGAAAAAUUAUGGAAAGUUUUUAUAUCUAUUUUUCUCGAAAAAAAUCGAAAAUUUUUGUGAAAAGAAUUUCAAAAUUCUUUUCUACAAAUAACUUAUUCGAAACUGAUUUUAACUUAAAACUUGUUCAAAAUAUUAAACUGGUUUAUAUUUAUAAAGUCAUUUAGAAUUACAUUGAACUUCAUUCGAAUGUGGUUUUCAAAAACAGAAGCAAACCAUUAAUGUGGUCCAAUCAAAUGUAGUAUCUGCACCAUGAACACCCCUAUCAGCAGUAAAACCGUCUGGAUGAGCUCUAUUACGAACAUAACUUUUAAGUCUACAUAACUUUCUUUUUGUGGGAUACAUCCAUCGUGUAAGACCCAUAAUUUUAAAGUAUACUUUAUGUAUUUUUGUGUAUUUUGGAUUUUGGCUCGGAGGCUUUUUAGCCAAAGUUAAUAAUAUUUUGGAGUUUAUAUGAUCAAAAAGAUAUUUUAAUGCCGUUUAGAAUUACUCGUCGAUAAAUAAAUUAAAUUAACUGCGGUGAAUCUUUUACGAAGAAUUUAAUGUGUUACGGGUGAAAUGGUAAUUUUAAUAAAUAUGUAGAUAUUUGUUAAGUUAUAAUUAAUAUAUAUAUAUAUAUAUAUAUAUAUAUAUAUAUGGUUGUUUGGAGGGAAAAAGAAAGGAAAUUAGAAGGAAGGAAAAGGAAAAGAAAAGGGUAUAAAAAGGAAAGAAGAAAAGGGUAUUCGUUUUUCUUUGCUUCCUUUCUUCAAGAUUAGAAACCCAACGGUUGGUGAGUGUGAUAGAGAACAUUACUCAACUUCAUUCUGCUUGUUUGAUUCGAAAACAAAGAAAAACGGUGUUAGGGAUUUUAAAACCGUUAAACACAAACCUCCCCGUUUCAUCUAGAUCUAAGCUUCGUUUCGCGAAGAGAUAGAAGGGAAAGUUGCUCAUUACCACGCUACGGUGCUAAGGAACCAACUUUGGAAGCGACGUUGCGAGCAGAGAUUUUUACCGGAUUUACUCGCGGUACCGUGUUCUCACGUUAAAGCUAACGUUAAGGUAAGGACUCCUUUCAAACUUUUAGCUUGCAUUUAGGGACUUAUCUGUGGUUGUGUGGAAAAGAAUUUUGUUAGGGUUUGAGUAUUGAUUUGGGGGAAAAUGAAUCUAAGGCUUUAUGGGUAAAACCUUAGAGUUAGGUUUUGGUUGUAUUGAUGAAUGUUUCGUGGAAAAUGAAUUUAAACUCAUUUAUGUAUGAUUUUGAGUAAAUGAAACUUGUUGUGUUUGAGUGGUGGUUUGUGUUGAUUUGUAUUCGUCGUAUUUGACGUGUGCUUAAUUAAUACUGAUGAAAUUUGUGGUGUGUAUGGUUGGAUUUUGUAGAGAAACGAAUUGAUGUGUUUUGGUGUGAGUUGUGGAUUGGAUCUGAUAUUUUAAUAGGUUUGAGUUUGUUUUGUGUGGAAUUUGAAAACCAUUAGAGUUAAACGAGUAUUAAGAAUGGGGAAUCUCUUAAUGUCUACGUUUACUUAAUGUUGGCGUGAAAACCAUUAGAGUUAAACGAGUAUUAAAAAUGGGGAAUCUUUUAAUAUCUCGGUUUACUUAAUGUUGUUUUGGAAAAUCGUUUAAGUUAAAUGAGUAUUAAGAAUGGGGAAUCUCUUAAUGUCUACGUUUACUUAAUGUUGGCGUGAAAACCAUUAGAGUUAAACGAGUAUUAAAAAUGGGGAAUCUUUUAAUAUCUCGGUUUACUUAAUGCGUGUUUGAGAAAAUCGUUUAAGUUAAACAAGUAUUAAGAAUGGGGAAUCUCUUAAUGUCUACGUUUACUUAAUGUUGGCGUGAAAACCAUUAGAGUUAAACGAGUAUUAAAAAUGGGGAAUCUUUUAAUAUCUCGGUUUACUUAAUGCGUGUUUGAGAAAAUCGUUUAAGUUAAACGAGUAUUAAGAAUGGGGAAUCUCUUUAGGUGGCACCUUGAUAAAUAGUACUUUGGCCUGUGGUAGGGCGUACAUUUAUGAUUUACGUUUUUGAAAACCGUGCAGACCCGUGAUAGGUGGCACCUCGAUAAAUGAUAUGGGCCCGUGAUAGGCAGUACGUUUAUGGUUUUCGCUUUUUUUGUAAAUUGUGCAGACCCGUGAUAGGUGGCACCUCGAUAAACGAUACGGGCCCGCGAUAGGCAGUACGUUUAUGGUUUUCGCUUUUUUUGUAAAUUGUGCAGACCCGUGAUAGGUGGCACCUCGAUAAACGAUACGGGCCCGCGAUAGGCAGUACGUUUAUGGUUUUCGCUUUUUUUGUAAAUUGUGCAGACCCGUGAUAGGUGGCACCUUGGUAAAUAGUACUUUGGCCUGUGAUAGGCGGUACAUUUACAAUUUACGUUCUUUUUAGUAAACCGUGCAGACCCGUGAUAAGUGGCAUCUCGGUAAACGAUACAGGCAAGUGAUAGGCAGUACAUUUAUGGUUUACGCUUUUUAGUAAAUCGUGCAGACCCGUGAUAGAUGGCACCUCAGUAAUUGGUACUUUGGCCUGCGAUAGGCGGUACAAUUUUGAUUUACGACCCUUCGAGGAAGGUUUUGGUUUGGAAUUCCGAGUCCAUGCAUUUUGGCAUAUACGCAUUGCAUUAGGGUGCUUGGCACACGAGUCGUGUCUGAUUCAAGUUUAUGAUUGAGUGUUUUGAAUUUGAGUUGUCGUGGUAAUUGUGUUGAAAUUGCUAAGUGAUAUGAAUUGUUUAUUGUGUGUGAGUGUGAUGGGUUGUAAAACUAUUUCGAAACUCAAUUUGUCGUGGUGAUCGUGUGGGAAUUACUAAGUGUUAAGAUGUGGAAUUGUGUAUGAAUGUGAUUGAGUUAGUUUAUGUGUUUUUGGAAGAAUAAGCAGGGAAAUCGAUUUCCCAAUCGAUUUGAUGAGUUGCAGAGACUUCACAAAUUUGACAAAAUCGAUUUGGCAAUCGAUUUCGCAAUAUGUUUUUCAAAACCUUUUAAGAAAUCGAUUUGGAAAUCGAUUGACAGUAAGAUAGCAACUCAGCAAAACUUACAAAAUCGAUUUGGAAAUCGAUUGGCAUCAACACAAGGGGUCAGUUAUUCAUUCAAUCGAUUGAAUUAAGCCCAUAGUUCAGUUUUUUCUAAUCACCCAAAUCGAUUUCCCAAUCGAUUGGCACAGUGGAAUUUCUUAUUUUGAGUUAGAUGAUCGAUUGUCCUAUUGGUUCAUCAAUGGAUUGGCCAGUUGCUUAUUUCCUGAUUGAUAUAAGACUUACUUGGCUUUCAUUUUUAUUUUGCAAGCAUUAUAUGAACUUUAGCAUAUGGAAAACCCUUUUAAGGUGCAUGCUAGGUUGAAAGGUUAUCUUGCGCAUUUGAAAAUUUAAAUGUUAUGUGUUAAUUGUUAAUUUCGGUUGGUGACCCUUUACAACUAUUGUGGAAAUCUGGGCUUUGCCCUCAGAUGAGAGCCAGGACGAUCCUACCGGUUCAUACCCUACGGAUGGGAAUGUAGAUGGGAAUGCUUGACUGAAGCUAUGUUAGGAGGAUCUCACGGGGCGCGUGGAGAUCACUCAGGGUGUAUAGCUAUAGUUUUUUNNNNNNNNNNNNNNNNNNNNNNNNNNNNNNNNNNNNNNNNNNNNNNNNNNNNNNNNNNNNNNNNNNNNNNNNNNNNNNNNNNNNNNNNNNNNNNNNNNNNNNNNNNNNNNNNNNNNNNNNNNNNNNNNNNNNNNNNNNNNNNNNNGGGGCGCGUGGAGAUCACUCAGGGUGUAUAGUUUUUUGGUAGGAUGAUCAGAUUAGGUUGUUGUAUAGGGACUAGACGUCCUUCUUUUUGGGUUGCAGUAUUUUAAUUCGGAAAACUGUACCUAUACUAAUAUUAUCUGUUUGACAUUUUAUUAUGAUGGGGUCUAUGCACCACUUUUUGAAGUGUAAAUACUUUGGAUUCGUAUUUUGAGAAACUUUUCCGCUGCUUGUAAAUUAUAAUGACUCAAUUAUUUAUCCAAAGGUAUUUCCUUAUUUGUUUUUCUCUGUUUUAUUUUAAUCUCUUUUGAAAAAAAAUACACCCUCGCUUUGAAAAUCGGGGUGUUACAUUGUGGUAUCAGAACUUUGGCUAGGUUUUCUUUGGGGGCUGUGGAACCUUAGUUUUAGAUUGUAGGUCAACCUAUAAGUUGGGAGUUAUUAUCUGAUCAUGUGUCGGUUUAGGGGGUUGAGUUGUCAGGUCUGCGAUAAUUAUUAUGUGUUAAGGUGGUCGGAAGCUAGUUUUGGAAUUAUUUGAAGUAGUGUUAAGACUCUACUUGAUGAUGGUUUUAUAGGAAAAACCAUGCCGCCAAGAAGGGAUGACGUUCCAAGAGCCAACGUUAAUAGGGACGAUCGAAUGGCGGAGGCUAUGAAUAACAUGGCUGCUUCUGUUGCUGCACAGACUGCUGCCAAGACUCAACGCGAUCUUGAAAAGAGGGGAAGAGAGAUUCGUGCUACGGAGUCAAGAGGGUUAGAAGACUUCUGUCGUUACAAUCCUCCCAAGUUUAAGGGGGAUGAGAAUUUAGAGAAAGCGGAUCAAUGGAUCCAGGAAGUGGAGAAGAUCUUCGAAAUGAUUAACUGGCAGGCAGAAGUGAAGGUCAACUAUGCCACUUAUAUGCUACUGGGGGAUGCUGAGUACUGGUGGAGGAGUGCAAGAUUGUUGAUGAGGUCAGCUCACGAGGAGGUGAACUGGGAAUCAUUCAAAAUGAAGUUUUUAGACAAAUACAUCCCGAUGAGUACCAGGACUAAGCUGGGUGAUGAUUUCCUGAAACUGCAUCAGGGGAACAUGAUCGUGGGCGAAUAUGCUGCUAAGUUUGAAUCGCUAUCGAGACAUUUCAGGUUUUUCCGUGAAGAGAUUGAUGAACCAUUCAUGUGUCAUCAUUUCCAAGACAGACUAAAGUACGAGAUUCAAGACUUUGUUAUGCCCUUGGGAAUUCAACGUUUCCAGAUUCUUGUGUAAAAAUGUAGGGAAGUUGAGGAUAUGAAGAAUAAAAGGGCUAGCCGAGGAGGGAAUUUUAAUUCAGGAGGCCCUAGUCGGGUGAAUUUUUAGAACAAGGGAAAGCAAGUUGCUAAACCUUACAAUCGACCAUGAACUAACAACAGUGGGCAGAAUCGCCCAGGGAACCAGAAUUUUGGGAGACAACUGGGACGAUUGGUUCGAUGUUUCCGAUGCGGGGAAGAGGGACAUUAUGCUAACGCUUGUACCCCUAAUACUCUCACCUGCUACAAUUGUCAGAAGCCAGGGCACAUGGCAAAAGAUUGCACGACUCCAAAGGUAGAACCAGUUGUGAAUGUAACUAGGGCUACUCGUCCUACUGCUAGAGGAUGCAUUUAUUGUGUGAGUGCUGAAGAGGGGAAUCCAUCUAAUAAUCUGAUUCAACGUGACUGUGAGAUUGCAGGUAAUACUCUAACUGCACUUUUUGAUUCGGGGGCAACCCAUUCGUUCAUUGCUAUGGAUUGUGUGAAUCGCUUGAAGUUAUCUGUGUCUGCUUUACCUUUUGAUUUGGUUGUUUCCACACCUGCUAAGACUUUGACAGUAAAUUCUGCAUGUUUACAUUGUCAAAUGACUAUUCAGAAUAGGGAUUUCUUGGUUAAUUUGAUUUGUUUACCUCUACAAUCACUCGAGGUCAUUCUCGGUAUGGAUUGGAUGUCUUACCAUUAUGUGAUCUUGGAUUGUGCUCGUAAAUUGGUUCUUUUUCCCGAACCAGAAGUUGUUAAGUAUCUAGCCGCCAACAAACUCCGAGUGUCGCUAAGAGAAGGAACACAUGAGUUUUUGUCUCUGGCUAAUGUGGAGGCAAAGAGAAAUGUGGACAUAGAUGAUGUGAUGCUCGUCAAUGAGUACCGAGACGUAUUCCCAACGGAAAUUCCAGGAUUGCCACCGGUAAGAGAAGUUAAAUUUUUCAUUGAUUUGCACCCAAGAAUCGGACCUAUUUCAAUGGCACCGUAUCGAAUGUCGCCAUUGGAAUUAAAUGAACUUAAAAGCCAAAUUGAAGACUUGUUGGAGAGGAAAUUUAUAAGACCAAGUGUAUCACCGUGGGGAGCUCUAGUUUUGCUAGUUAAGAAGAAAGACGGAAGCUCGGGCUUAUGUGUGGAUUAUAGACAACUUAACAAGGUAUUGACACAACUUACCAGAAAAGAUCAACCGUUCGCAUGGACGGAGAAGUGUGAGGAAAAUUUUCAGUUACUAAAGAGAAAAUUGACGACCUCACCAGUAUUGGUAUUACCGCAAUCAGAAGAACCCUAUGAAGUUUAUUGUGAUGCAUCUCACCAAGGGUUGGGAUGUGUUCUGAUGCAACACAAGAAAGAUGUAGCUUAUGCCUAAAGGCAAUUGAAGAUUCAUGAGAGAAACUAUCCUACUCAUGAUUUGGAGCUUGUUGCGGUUGUUUUUGCAUUGAAGAUCUGGAGGCACUAUUUAUAUGGGUGCACUUUCACCGUGUUCAGUGACCAUAAAAGUUUGAAGUAUUUGUUUGAUCAGAAGGAGUUGAACACGCGCCAGAGACGAUGGAUGGAGACUCUCAAGGAUUUUGAUUUCACACUGCAGUACCACCCUGGGAAGGCCAAUGUAGUGGCUGAUGCGUUGAGUAGAAGAAGUGUCUCGGUGUUUUCAACAAUUAUGGCUAGACAACAAGAGUUGUGGGAAGCUUUUAGAGAUCUACACUUGAACGUAGAGUUUGCACCAGGAAUUUUGAAAUUCGGAAUGAUUAAGAUUUCGAGUGGACUACUUGAAGACAUUGUAAACUCUCAAGAUGACACCUUAAUUCAAGAAAAGAGGAACCUAAUAGUGCAAGGGAAGAAAACUGAGUUCAAGAUUGGAUCAGAUAAUAUUUUGCGAUGUAAUGGUAGGAUUUGUGUACCAGGAAUUACAGAUAUGAGGAAAACAAUCUUAGAAGAGGCUCAUAAGAGCAAGUUGAGUAUUCAUCCUGGAGCAACAAAGAUGUAUCAGGAUUUGAGACAGCAUUAUUGGUGGCCAGGAAUGAAGAAACAUGUAGCGGAGUAUGUAUCCACUUGUCUAACUUGUCAGAAAGCGAAGGUGGAACAUCAGCGACCUGCUGGAAUGUUGCAACCUCUAGAUAUACCUGAAUGGAAGUGGGACAGCAUUUCCAUAGAUUUUAUAACUGGAUUACCAAAGACAAGGAGAAAGAAUGAUUCCAUAUGGGUGAUAGUGGAUCGACUAACUAAAUCUGCUCACUUUUUGCCGGUAAGGACCACCUAUAAGGUAGAUCAGCUAACGGAGAUCUACAUUGCUGAAAUUGUGAGGUUACACGGGGUACCAUCGAGCAUUGUAUCAGACCGUGAUCCGAAGUUCACAUCACAUUUUUGGGGAGCAUUGCACGAAGCAUUGGGAACAAAGCUACGAUUGAGUUCAGCUUACCAUCCACAAACGGACGGACAGACUGAAAGGACAAAUCAGUCCUUGGAAGAUCUGUUGAGAGCAUGUGUAUUAGAUGAUAGGGGAAGCUGGGAUGAUGUACUUCCGUUGAUUGAGUUCACUUACAACAAUAGUUUCCACGCAAGUAUUGGAAUGGCACCAUAUGAAGCUUUAUACGGACGCAAGUGUCAGACGCCCUUGUGUUGGUAUAAAGACGGUGAGAAUAUGAUUGUCGGACCAGAGAUGGUGCAACAGACCACAGCUAAAGUAAGGAAGAUCAAGGAGAAAAUGAAGACUUCACAAGAUCGCCAGAAGAGUUACGCGGACAAGCGUCGCAGACUUUUGGAAUUCGAACAGGGUGACCAUGUAUUUCUGAGAGUCACACCUACUACUGGAGUAGGUAGAGCCUUGAAAUCGAAGAAGUUGACUCCGAAAUUCAUUGGACCAUAUCAGAUUUCUGCACGAAUUGGGCCGGUUGCUUAUCGGAUUGCAUUACCUCCGAUACUGUCCAAUAUUCACGACGUGUUCCAUGUGUCACAAUUGAGGAAGUACCUCGCAGAUCCAUCUCACGUGAUCGAACCAGACACAAUCCAGCUAAAGGAUAACCUGUCGUUCGAAGUACCACCCGUGAGAAUUGAUGACAGGAAGAUUAAGCGGUUGAGGACCAAGGAUGUUUCGUUGGUCAAGGUGAUCUGGAACCCAAUUACUGGAGAUGCGACUUGGGAACUGGAGAGCAAGAUGAGGGAACAACACCCAGAGUUAUUUAUAUAUAUAUAUAUAUAUGGUUGUUUGGAGGGAAAAAGAAAGGAAAUUAGAAGGAAGGAAAAGGAAAAGAAAAGGGUAUAAAAAGGAAAGAAGGAAAAAGGAAGAAAGGAAAAAUAAAGGAAAGAAAGAGAAAGGAAAGAAAACAAGAUUUUCCAUCUUCCUUUCUCUGUCUCGCGCGCAAAUCCCUUAUUCUCCUCCAUUUUCGUUUUUCUUUGCUUCCUCUCUUCAAGAUUAGAAACCCAACGGUUGGUGAGUGUGAUAGAGAAGAUUACUCAACUUCAUUAUGCUUGUUUGAUUCGAAAACGAAGAAAAACGGUGUUAGGGAUUUCAAAACCGUUAAACACAAACCUCCCUGUUUCAUCUAGAUCUAAGCUUCGUUUCGCGAAGAGAUAGAAGGGAAAGUUGCUCAGUACCACGCUACGGUGCUAAGGAACCAACUUUGGAAGCGACAUUGCGAGCGGAGAUUUUUACCGGAUUUACUCGCGGUACCGUGUUCGCACCUUAAAGCUAACGUUAAGGUAAGGGCUCCUUCCAAACUUUUAGUUUGCAUUUAGGGACUUAUCUGUGGUUGUGUGGAAAAGAAUUUUGUUAGGGUUUGAGUAUUGAUUUGGGGGAAAAUGAAUCUAAGGCUUUAUGGGUAAAAUCUUAGAGUUAGGUUUUGGUUAUAUUGAUGAAUGUUUCGUGGAAAAUGAAUUUAAACUCAUUUAUGUAUGAUUUUGAGUAAAUGAAACUUGUUGUGUUUGAGUGGUGGUUUGUGUUGAUUUGUGUUCGUCGUAUUUGAUGUGUGCUUAAUUAAUACUGAUGAAAUUUGUGGUGUGUAUGGUUGGAUUUUGUAGAGAAACGAAUUGAUGCGUUUUGGUGUGAGUUAUGGAUUGGAUCUGAUAAUAGGUUUGACUUUGUUUUGUGUGGAAUUUGAAAACCAUUAGAGUUAAACGAGUAUUAACAAUGGGGAAUCUCUUAAUAUUUCUGUUUACUUAAAGUUUGUGUUGAAAAUCGUUUAAGUCAAAUGAGUAUUAAAAAUGGGGAAUCUUUUAAUAUCUGCAUUUGCUUAACGAUUGUUGUGGAUGGAGUCAGUCUAUGCUCACGCAUUUUCAUACUUUUUGUAAAUCGUGUAGACCCGUGAUAGGUGGCCCCUCGGUAAACGAUACGGGCUUGUGAUAGGCAGUACGUCUAUGGUUUACGCUUUUUAGUAAAUCGUGCAGACCCGUGAUAGGUGGCCCCUCGGUAAACGAUACGGGCUUGUGAUAGGCAGUACGUCUAUGGUUUACGCUUUUUAGUAAAUCGUGCAGACCCGUGAUAGGUGGCCCCUCGGUAAACGAUACGGGCUUGUGAUAGGCAGUACGUCUAUGGUUUACGCUUUUUAGUAAAUCGUGCAGACCCGUGAUAGGUGGCACCUUGGUAAAUAGUACUUUGGCCUGUGAUAGGCGGUACAUUUACAAUUUACGUUCUUUUUAGUAAACCGUGCAGACCCGUGAUAGGUGGCACCUCGGUAAACGAUACGGGCUUGUGAUAGGCAGUACGUCUAUGGUUUACGCUUUUUAGUAAAUCGUGCAGACCCGUGAUAGUAAAUCGUGCACCUCGGUAGUUGGUACUUUGGCCUGCGAUAGGCGGUACAAUUAUGAUUACGGCCCUUCGAGGAGGGUUUUGGUUUGGAAUUCCGAGUCCAUGCAUUUUGGCAUAUACCCAUUGCAUUAGGGUGCUUGGCACGCGAGUCGUGUUUGAUUCAAGUUUAUGAUUGAGUGUUUUGAAUUUGAGUUGUCGUGGUAAUUGUGUUGAAAUUGCUAAGUGAUAUGAAUUGUUUAUUGUGUGUGAGUGUGAUGGGUUGUAAAACUAUUUUGAAACUCAAUUUGUCGUGGUGAUCGUGUGGGAAUUGCUAAGUGUGAAGAUGUGGAAUUGUGUAUGAAUGUGAUUGAGUUAGUUUAUGUAUUUUUGGAAGAAUAAGCAGGGAAAUCGAUUUCCCAAUCGAUUGGAUGAGUUUCAGAGACUUCACAAAUUUGACAAAAUCGAUUUGGCAAUCUAUUUCGCAAUAUGUUUUUCAAAACCUUUUAAGAAAUCGAUUUGGAAAUCGAUUGACAGUAAGACAGGAACUCAGCAAAACUGACAAAAUCGAUUGACAUCAACACAACGGCUCAGUUAUUCAUUCAAUCGAUUUCCCAAUCGAUUGAAUUAAGCCCAGAGUUCAGUUUUUUCUAAAAACCUUCACCCAAAUCGAUUUCCCAAUCGAUUGGCACAGUGGAAUUUAUUAUUUUGAGUUAGAUGAUCGAUUGUCCUAUUGGUUCAUCAUUGGAUUAGCCAGUUGCUUAUUGCCUGAUUGAUUUAAGACUUACUUUGCUUUCAUUUUUAUUUUGCAAGCAUUAUAUGAACUUUAGCAUAUGGAAAACCCUUUUAAGGUGCAUGCUAGGUUGAAAGGUUAUCUUGCGCAUUUGAAAAUUUAAAUGUUAUGUGUUAACUGUUAAUUUCGGUUGGUGACCCUUUACAACUAUUGUGGAAAUCUGGGCUUUGCCCUCAGAUGAGAGCCAGGACGAUCCUACCGGUUCGUACCCUACGGAUGGGAAUGCUUGACUGGAGCUAUGUAGGAGGAUCUCACGGGGCGCGUGGAGAUCACUCAGGGUGUAUAGUUUUUUUGUAGGAUGAUCAGAUUAGGUUGAUGUAUAGGGACUAGACGUCCUUCGUUUUGGGUUGCAGUAUUUUAAUUUGGAAAACUGUACCUAUACUAAUAUUGUCUGUUUGACAUGUUAUUUAUGAUGGGGUCUAUGUACCACCUUUUGAAGUGUAAAUACUUUGGAUUCGUAUUUUGAGAAACUUUUCCGUUGCUUGUAAAUUAUAA